rnacentral:rRNA from 1 species
UACGUAGGGUGCGAGCGUUAAUCGGAAUUACUGGGCGUAAAGAGGGCGCAGGCGGUUCGUUGUGUCUGAUGUGAAAGCCCCGGGCUCAACCUGGGAAUGGCAUUGGAAACUGGCGAGCUAGAGUGUGGCAGAGGGGGGUGGAAUUCCGCGUGUAGCAGUGAAAUGCGUAGAUAUGCGGAGGAACACCGAUGGCGAAGGCAAUCCCCUGGGCCUGCACUGACGCUCAUGCACGAAAGCGUGGGGAGCAAACAGG